rnacentral:rRNA from 1 species
AGGACGAACGCUGGCGGCGUGCUUCACACAUGCAAGUCGAACGGGGCUCAUUCGGUGGUAACACCGGAGAAGGCCUAGUGGCGAACGGGUGCGUAACACGUGAAGAACCUGCCCCGAAGACUGGGAUAACAGCGGGAAACCGCUGCUAAUACCGGAUGACCCCACCAGGCCGCAUGGCCAGGUGAGGAAAUGGGCCUACCGCUUCGGGAGGGCUUCGCGGCCUAUCAGCUUGUUGGUGGGUAACGGCCUACCAAGGCUACGACGGGUAGCUGGUCUGAGAGGACGACCAGCCACACUGGGACUGAGACACGGCCCAGACUCCUACGGGAGGCAGCAGUGGGGAAUCUUGCGCAAUGGGCGAAAGCCUGACGCAGCAACGCCGCGUGAGGGAUGAAGGUCUUCGGGUUGUAAACCUCUUUCGAGCAGGGACGAUUGUGACGGUACCUGCAGAAGAAGCUCCGGCCAACUACGCGCCAGCAGCCGCGGU